ensembl:lncRNA novel transcript
AGAACUCGUGAGCAACUCCUUAGUGGAUUGGGCUGAAAGAAAAUCAAACCCGUGAAAGCCCUGAAUUGAUGUGGUUAUGAAAGCGCAUUGGCCAAGCUGGCUUUCCUUCCUCUGACCCCCAUCUAACUAUGGUGAACGCCCUCGUUGGGAUGAGGCUCCCAGGCUCCUGAUAGCAGGUAGAGGAGAGAACGAGACCGCAAAGAGGGAAGCCGAGAGGAGUGAUGAAGACCCUGGCCCUACCAUCUACUCAGGCUGUCUUUGCAGCCACACUGUGAGCCCAGGCUGGUUAACGCUUCCUCCUGGAGGAGAAAAGCUAAGAGAGAAAACAAAAUCCAUGCAGCGCGCUCCCCCUCGGCCCCUCCUCUCUGUCUCCUCUGUGCGCUAACCUCCAAUGCCCUGCGGGAACCAAUUACAGUAUUCUAAUGAGUGUAGUUUCCAAUAACUGCAUUUGACGGGCCUGUUACCUCCUCAUCUCAGCUCACCUUUCCCAGCCAUGAAGCAGGUGGCCCAGUGCUUGCUCACUGGCCUGGCAUCUCCCGGUGGAGUCACCAGGGAUGCAGGGCCAUAGGGAUGUGUGUGUGAAUACUGGUGUUCACAGAAUGCAAAGGACUGUGGGCCAAGCCAGCAAGGAAAUAAGCCAGGCAGGUUGGUGGCUUUGGACAAACAUGGUUCACUUGUUUGAAAUAGUCUGUAGGGACCAAAAUGAAGAGUCAUGUUUUUUAGAAAGCCCCUGUGUCCCGGAUAUGCUUGUAGAAAAGGGGUAAACAGUGGUUAAAAGCAUGAACAUUGGAGUGAGGAAGACUUACCUGAGACUUAUUCCCCAUCACUUACUAGCUGCGUGACCUCCAGCAGUGCCUUCAUGUCUGAAUGAGCCCGGGUUUUAUCAUCCAUAAAAUGGGAACGAUAAUAGCCCCUACUUUGUACAGUUGUUUUAAAUAUUUAAAAAAUAGUGGAUGCAAA